AUCCAGCUGAUGAGUCUCAAAUAAGACGAAACACGCGUCUUGGAU
rnacentral:hammerhead_ribozyme from 1 species